rnacentral:rRNA from 1 species
UAACCUGCCUUGGAGUGGGGAAUAACAGUUGGAAACAGCUGCUAAUACCGCAUGAUGCAGUUGAGUCGCAUGGCUCUGACUGCCAAAGAUUUAUCGCUCUGAGAUGGGCUCGCGUCUGAUUAGCUAGUUGGCGGGGUAACGGCCCACCAAGGCGACGAUCAGUAGCCGGACUGAGAGGUUGGCCGGCCACAUUGGGACUGAGACACGGCCCAGACUCCUACGGGAGGCAGCAG